UACGCAGGGGGCUAGCGUUGCUCGGAAUCACUGGGCGUAAAGCGCACGUAGGCGGCUUUUUAAGUCAGGGGUGAAAUCCUGGAGCUCAACUCCAGAACUGCCUUUGAUACUGAGGAGCUUGAGUCCGGGAGAGGUGAGUGGAACUGCGAGUGUAGAGGUGAAAUUCGUAGAUAUUCGCAAGAACACCAGUGGCGAAGGCGGCUCACUGGCCCGGUACUGACGCUGAGGUGCGAAAGCGUGGGGAGCAAACAGG
rnacentral:rRNA from 1 species